GUAUGUGAGGGUGAUCUGGCUGUGACAUCUGUCACCUCAUUGAUCACCAGGGUUGAUUCAGCUGAUCUAGCUGGCUAGGCGGGUGUUCCCCUCCUCCCUCACCACUUCAUGUGUGUCCCUCCUGAAGCUGCAUGCUCAGUCAAAGAGGACAGCCUUCCUGAAUAGAGAUGGACCAGUCUUCGGUCUUCAGUCAAAGGUAAACGAGUAGCUGCGCUCCCCUGCUAGAACAAGCUCUCAAGGUCCAUAAGUUAGAGGUAAGCAGUGCUAUGAUAUUAAGAAUAAAUAAAUAAACAAGCAAAUAAAUAACUAUGUAGAGUAUUGUGCUACAGCUUGUGUUU
rnacentral:snRNA from 1 species